UUCGGGGUGAGUGGCAGACGGGUGAGUAACAUGUGGGAACGUGCCCUUCAGUUCGGGAUAACCCAGGGAAACUUGGGCUAAUACCGGAUACGCCCCUUUGGGGGAAAGAUUGAUCGCUGAAGGAUCGGCCCGCGUCUGAUUAGCUGGUUGGUGGGGUAACGGCUCACCAAGGCGACGAUCAGUAGCUGGUCUGAGAGGAUGAUCAGCCACACUGGGACUGAGACACGGCCCAGACUCCUACGGGAGGCAGCAGUGGGGAAUAUUGGACAAUGGGCGCAAGCCUGAUCCAGCCAUGCCGCGUGAGUGAUGAAGGCCCUAGGG
rnacentral:rRNA from 1 species